ensembl:snoRNA
UUGCACACUGAACACCCAAGCGUGCUCUGUAGUACUCUUGGCUCUAACUCUGUGCUAGAAUAAUCUGUACUUUACCUCUGCAUUGGAAGGAGUCCCUUUCCUUUUACAUGUAUUCAGAAGGACAGUACACUU